rnacentral:rRNA from 1 species
AUCCUGUCUGAAUAUGGGGGGACCAUCCUCCAAGGCUAAAUACUCCUGACUGACCGAUAGUGAACCAGUACCGUGAGGGAAAGGCGAAAAGAACCCCGGCGAGGGGAGUGAAAAAGAACCUGAAACCGUGUACGUACAAGCAGUGGGAGCCCUGAUUUAUCAGGGUGACUGCGUACCUUUUGUAUAAUGGGUCAGCGACUUAUAUUCUGUAGCAAGGUUAACCGAAUAGGGGAGCCGGAGGGAAACCGAGUCUUAACUGGGCGUUAAGUUGCAGGGUAUAGACCCGAAACCCGGUGAUCUAGCCAUGGGCAGGUUGAAGGUUGGGUAACACUAACUGGAGGACCGAACCGACUAAUGUUGAAAAAUUAGCGGAUGACUUGUGGCUGGGGGUGAAAGGCCAAUCAAACCGGGAGAUAGCUGGUUCUCCCCGAAAGCUAUUUAGGUAGCGCCUCGUGAAUUCAUCUCCGGGGGUAGAGCACUGUUUCGGCAAGGGGGUCAUCCCGACUUACCAACCCGAUGCAAACUGCGAAUACCGGAGAAUGUUAUCACGGGAGACACACGGCGGGUGCUAACGUCCGUCGUGAAGAGGGAAACAACCCAGACCGCCAGCUAAGGUCCCAAAGUCAUGGUUAAGUGGGAAACGAUGUGGGAAGGCCCAGACAGCCAGGAUGUUGGCUUAGAAGCAGCCAUCAUUUAAAGAAAGCGUAAUAGCUCACUGGUCGAGUCGGCCUGCGCGGAAGAUGUAACGGGGCUAAACCAUGCACCGAAGCUGCGGCAGCGACGCUGAUGCGUUGUUGGGUAGGGGAGCGUUCUGUAAGCCUGUGAAGGUGGCCUGUGAGGGUUGCUGGAGGUAUCAGAAGUGCGAAUGCUGACAUAAGUAACGAUAAAGCGGGUGAAAAGCCCGCUCGCCGGAAGACCAAGGGUUCCUGUCCAACGUUAAUCGGGGCAGGGUGAGUCGACCCCUAAGGCGAGGCCGAAAGGCGUAGUCGAUGGGAAACAGGUUAAUAUUCCUGUACUUGGUGUUACUGCGAAGGGGGGACGGAGAAGGCUAUGUUGGCCGGGCGACGGUUGUCCCGGUUUAAGCGUGUAGGCUGGUUUUCCAGGCAAAUCCGGAGAAUCAAGGCUGAGGCGUGAUGACGAGGCACUACGGUGCUGAAGCAACAAAUGCCCUGCUUCCAGGAAAAGCCUCUAAGCAUCAGGUAACAUCAAAUCGUACCCCAAACCGACACAGGUGGUCAGGUAGAGAAUACCAAGGCGCUUGAGAGAACUCGGGUGAAGGAACUAGGCAAAAUGGUGCCGUAACUUCGGGAGAAGGCACGCUGAUGGUAGGUGAAGCGACUUGCUCGUGGAGCUGAAAUCAGUCGAAGAUACCAGCUGGCUGCAACUGUUUAUUAAAAACACAGCACUGUGCAAACACGAAAGUGGACGUAUACGGUGUGACGCCUGCCCGGUGCCGGAAGGUUAAUUGAUGGGGUCAGCGCAAGCGAAGCUCUUGAUCGAAGCCCCGGUAAACGGCGGCCGUAACUAUAACGGUCCUAAGGUAGCGAAAUUCCUUGUCGGGUAAGUUCCGACCUGCACGAAUGGCGUAAUGAUGGCCAGGCUGUCUCCACCCGAGACUCAGUGAAAUUGAACUCGCUGUGAAGAUGCAGUGUACCCGCGGCAAGACGGAAAGACCCCGUGAACCUUUACUAUAGCUUGACACUGAACACUGGUCCUUGAUGUGUAGGAUAGGUGGGAGGCUUUGAAGUGUGGACGCCAGUCUGCAUGGAGCCGUCCUUGAAAUACCACCCUUUAAUGGCUGGUGUUCUAACGUGGGCCCGUAAUCCGGGUUGCGGACAGUGUCUGGUGGGUAGUUUGACUGGGGCGGUCUCCUCCUAAAGAG